GUCUAUGUUCUCCCGCACGCGGCUCCUCCUCCUACCUGAAUCCAAUGCCAAUUACUGUCACGGAGCUCACGUUCAUGCAGCUACGGGCCACCGCGCUGAUGUUCCACAUCGGACAUAUAUAAUUAAAAACACGCACGCCGGGAUUCCAGAAGCAACUUAAUAUCUGUGGUCUUGACACGUGAAAGCAGGAAGAGCUCAGCUAGGCACCCGACACAACCAGCACGACUAAUUGAUGUCUUCGUGGCAACAUGUUCUACUUAUUGGAACGAUACUGCUGUUCCCGUCUUACAAAUGUUAUGCAGCAAAAGGCUGUCAAGAGAACAGGGAAAUUAAUAAACUGAAGUUUUAUUACUCUGUUUUGCUUAAUCAAUGAAAACAGGAAUUUAUUACUAAGCUUGACCACAGUCAUAUAAUAUAUAUAAUCAUAUAAAUCAUGCUUCAGCACUUUCAAUGUGUCACAUGUUUCAUAAACAUUUUAAUUAAACCUGUAGCAUCCCCAUUGUGUCAUACUUCUAAAAAUGAAGUCAAUGACAUUUAGCCUAAAUUUAGCUUUGGGUCAGUGUUUGUUGGAAUUUAAUGAGGCACAGCAAAGUAAAACAUUCCUCUAGCUAGAAAUAUAGCUAAAAUGGCAACAAUGUGAAUAAGGAACAACUUCUAAAUAUAUUCCUACAAGUUAUUUGAAGCAUUUAUCCUGGAAAAAAACAAUCUAGGAAAACAUAUAGGUUUGGAGUUCAAUUACUAAAGAGGCAGCAAGUGUGCAUUUUUGUUCUGUAGUUAUAUACCAAAAGCAUUGAUCAUUUUUUCCUAAGCAACUGGAUUCCAGUUGGUCAAAAAUGCAACCAAUUGUCUCAGGAAGACAUCUGUGAAUAGUUUCAAAAAGAUCAAAUAACUUUACAAACAAAAUAAUACAAGAAUGCAGGUACUGUGCACACAGAUGUACAAUGAGUUUUGGCUCAGGAUUAACUAUAUAGUAGGAACAGAUAAGCCUUUGAGAAUAAAUUACAGUAAUUCUGCCACCUAGUGGUAAAGAACAACUAACACUAAAACAGCAAGGAGGUAAUCCACAUUGUAAACUUAUGUAAACCCAUAUGUAAUGUCCAUACAAGCCCAUAUGUAAUGAAUACUGCACUCCAGUUCAUGACAUCCAGUGAGCACCUUAAGGAUGCAGGGAGAACCACAUGCAUUACCAUUGGUUUAACUUGACAAGUUUUGAAUACUAUUUACACCAGGGGUGUCAAACUCCAGUCCUCGAGGGCCGGAGCCCUGCACAGGUUUUGGGUUUCCCCUCAUUUAACACACCUGAUUCAGCUCCUUGUGCUAAUUACCACACAGCUCUUGAGCUGAAUCAUUUGUGGUGGAACAGGGAAAGAACUAAGCUACACUGGGCUCCGGCCCCCCCAGGUCUGCAGUUUGACGCUUCUAAUAUACAGAGUCACUGCCCUGCUUGUCUGACUUCCAGUGUGUUAACAUAUUUUUCAGAACCUGUAUGUGUAACUGGACCAUUCUGCAAACAAUUAACAAGUCAUUUUUUAGUGAUAUUAAGAUAAAAUUUGCUCAAUAAAAAUCAUGCAAUUUUACUGAAAAUAAAUGAACCU